AAAGAGAACAAACCCAUCAGAAAGGUUUGUACCAACGUGAGAGAGAGAGAGAGAGAGAGAGAGAGAGAGAGAGAGAGAGAGAGAGAGAGAGAGAGAGAUCAGCCGUGAGGAGAGAAGAAGAAGGAAGAAAGGGAUUAAGGGUUUUGAAUCUUAAUUAGGUAACAAGCCGGUCAAAUAGGAGGUGCCGAAACCGUAAGUUUGGUGUAUAUCUCGGUCGAUGCAAAGGUAGCAGGUUGCGUAGAGUGGGUCCACUACCGGUCAUCGUGUUGAGAAGUGUUUGGGCUAGCAUUAGAUGAUGUGGAUGAACGAGUUGGUUGUAGGUAGUAAACAAAAAAGUUGAUUUAUGUAAGUUAUAAAUAAGUCGUCGGUGGACGUAUUAAAGUGUAAAAUUUUUAAAGUAUUGUAAAACUAUAUUGUUGUUUAGUUGUGUGAGAUCGUGGUUGGUUGGUCGAUACGUCGACUCAUUUUUAUGUUAAGGUGAUAAGUCUUCCGCUGGGUGUUUAUUC